CAGUAGCCGCGGGAAUACAGAGGGUGCGAGCGUUAAUCGGAUUUACUGGGCGUAAAGCGUGCGUAGGCGGCUUCUUAAGUCGGAUGUGAAAUCCCUGAGCUUAACUUAGGAAUUGCAUUCGAUACUGGGAAGCUAGAGUAUGGGAGAGGAUGGUAGAAUUCCAGGUGUAGCGGUGAAAUGCGUAGAGAUCUGGAGGAAUACAGAUGGCGAAGGCAGCCAUCUGGCCUAAUACUGACGCUGAGGUACGAAAGCAUGGGGAGCAAACAGGAUUAGAUACCCGGGUAGUCCCUGUCUAUUAUAU
rnacentral:rRNA from 1 species